rnacentral:rRNA from 1 species
AUGGAGCCGACCUUGAAAUACCACCCUUUAAUGUUUGAUGUUCUAACGUUGACCCGUGAUCCGGGUUGCGGACAGUGUCUGGUGGGUAGUUUGACUGGGGCGGUCUCCUCCUAAAGAGUAACGGAGGAGCACGAAGGUUGGCUAAUCCUGGUCGGACAUCAGGAGGUUAGUGCAAUGGCAUAAGCCAGCUUGACUGCGAGCGUGACGGCGCGAGCAGGUGCGAAAGCAGGUCAUAGUGAUCCGGUGGUUCUGAAUGGAAGGGCCAUCGCUCAACGGAUAAAAGGUACUCCGGGGAUAACAGGCUGAUACCGCCCAAGAGUUCAUAUCGACGGCGGUGUUUGGCACCUCGAUGUCGGCUCAUCACAUCCUGGGGCUGAAGUAGGUCCCAAGGGUAUGGCUGUUCGCCAUUUAAAGUGGUACGCGAGCUGGGUUUAGAACGUCGUGAGACAGUUCGGUCCCUAUCUGCCGUGGGCGCUGGAGAACUGAGGGGGGCUGCUCCUA